GACGAACGCUGGCGGCGUGCCUAAUACAUGCAAGUAGAACGCUGAAGAGAGGAGCUUGCUCUUCUUGGAUGAGUUGCGAACGGGUGAGUAACGCGUAGGUAACCUGCCUUGUAGCGGGGGAUAACUAUUGGAAACGAUAGCUAAUACCGCAUAACAAUGGAUGACCCAUGUCAUUUAUUUGAAAGGGGCAAAUGCUCCACUACAAGAUGGACCUGCGUUGUAUUAGCUAGUAGGUGAGGUAACGGCUCACCUAGGCGACGAUACAUAGCCGACCUGAGAGGGUGGUCGGCCACACUGGGACUGAGACACGGCCCAGGAUCCUACGGGGAGCAGCAGUAGGGAAUCUUCGGCAAUGGGGGCAACCCUGAACGAGCAACGCCGGGUGAGUGGAGAAGGGUUUCGGAUCGUAAAGCUCUGUUGUAAGUCAAGAACGAGUGUGAGAGUGGAAAGUUCACACUGUGACGGUAGCUUACCAGAAAGGGACGGCUAACUACGUG
rnacentral:rRNA from 1 species